rnacentral:rRNA from 1 species
UACGGGGGGGGCAAGCGUUGUUCGGAAUUACUGGGCGUAAAGGGCUCGUAGGUGGCCAACUAAGUCAUACGUGAAAUCCCUCGGCUUAACCGGGGAACUGCGUCUGAUACUGGAUGGCUUGAGUUCGGGAGAGGGAUGCGGAAUUCCAGGUGUAGCGGUGAAAUGCGUAGAUAUCUGGAGGAACACCGGUGGCGAAGGCGGCAUCCUGGACCGACACUGACGCUGAGGCGCGAAAGCGUGGGGAGCAAACAGG